ACGCUCGACACCUACGGGGGGCAGCAGUGGGGGAUAUUGCACAAUGGGGGGAACCCGUGAUGCAGCGACGCCGCGUGAGGGAAGAAGGUUUUCGGAUUGUAAACCUCUGUCCUCAGGGAAGAAGAUGACGGUACCUGAGGAGGAAGCCACGGCUAACUACGUGCCAGCAGCCGCGGUAAUCUGAGCGGGCUGGCAAGGC
rnacentral:rRNA from 1 species